rnacentral:rRNA from 1 species
ACAGGGGGGGCAAGCGUUGUUCGGAAUUACUGGGCGUAAAGGGCUUGUAGGCGGCCAACUAAGUCACACGUGAAAUCCCCAGGCUUAACCUGGGAACUGCGUGUGAUACUGGAUGGCUUGAAUUCGGGAGAGGGAUGCAGAAUUCCAGGUGUAGCGGUGAAAUGCGUAGAUAUCGGGAGGAACACCUGUGGCGAAAGCGGCGCACUGGACCACAACUGACGCUGAGGCGCGAAAGCUAGGGGAGCAAACAGGA